rnacentral:rRNA from 1 species
UACGUAGGCAGCGAGCGUUGUUCGGAAUUACUGGGCGUAAAGAGUGUGUAGGCGGUGCUCUAAGUUCGGUGUGAAAUCUCCUGGCUCAACUGGGAGGGUGCGCCGGAAACUGGAGUGCUUGAGCGUGGGAGAGGAAAGCGGAAUCCCUGGUGUAGCGGUGAAAUGCGUAGAUAUCAGGAGGAACACCUGUGGUGUAGACGGCUUUCUGGACCAUAGCUGACGCUGAGACACGAAAGCGUGGGUAGCAAACAGG